AUUGAACGCUGGCGGCAUGCUUUACACAUGCAAGUCGAACGGUAACAGGUUAAGCUGACGAGUGGCGAACGGGUGAGUAAUGCAUCGGAACGUGCCCGAUAGUGGGGGAUAACGCAGCGAAAGCUGCGCUAAUACCGCAUACGAUCUGAGGAUGAAAGCGGGGGACCGUAAGGCCUCGCGCGAUCGGAGCGGCCGGUGGCAGAUUAGGUAGUUGGUGGGGUAAAGGCUCACCAAGCCAACGAUCUGUAGCUGGUCUGAGAGGACGACCAGCCACACUGGGGCUGAGACACGGCGCAGACUCCUACGGGAGGCAGCAGUGGGGAAUUGUGGACAAUGGGCGAAAGCCUGAUCCAGCAAUGCCGCGUGCAGGAAGAAGGCCUUCGAGUUGUAAACUGCUUUUGUACGGAGCGAAAAGGCCCUCUCUAAUACAGUGGGCUCAUGACGGUACCGUAAGAAUAAGCACCGGCUAACUACGUGCCAGCCGCCGCUGUAA
rnacentral:rRNA from 1 species